rnacentral:misc_RNA from 1 species
CACCUCCUUUCUAAGGAGUAAUUAGAAAGACGUGAAGUUGACACCUAAAGUUUCCUGUUUAGUUUUGAGAGUCCGUUGGAAUCUCAAGAAAAAUGAUCUUUGAAAACUGAAUAACAGAAAAGAAAAAGAGAUAGACAAAGAAAUAAAUGUUAUCAACAUGAUCUUUUCGAAUAGUUGUAUAAAACUAGAUUUACAUCAAGUUAAACAAAAACAGUAACUUAAGCAAUUAAGUAAGCAAUCAAAGCAAACACACAGCUUAUCAAGCGAUAAGCGUUAAAAAAA